GGGUCUGCACUCCCCUUUCUCCUACAUACUCCAAAUUGAGAAAACCCUAACCCAUCUACAAAAACUACAGCCGCCACCUACAACACCUGCAACCCCACCCUCUUCCUUCGAUCUGUGUAAACGACCACCACCACCACCACCGUCUGGUGGUGGCGCGACGACGAAACAGAGAAUCGGAAGAGACGACAAGAGAGAGAGAGGGGGGUAAUAGGCUGUAGUUCGACGGCGUACGACGGCGGUGGAGUCGUCUACAGCGGCGACGGUGGCGGGGUUUUAUUUCAUUCCAUCAGGGUCGUCGGUUCAGGUCAGAUUUACGCUCAACAGCGGAUUAAAAUUCAUGGCUCGGGUCUCAACAUCAGUUGGUUCAAGCUUCAGGUGGUUCACUCCGGUUCGGGUUCGUCCGAGUUUAGUUUCAUUCGGUUUCGACUAGCAUCGGCCCAGGUGGUUUGGUGCUUGUUUGUUUUCGGGUCUCGGUCAAAACGGGUCAGUGGUGGUGCUUGGCCCGGGUUUCAUCUUGGUUCACAUUAGGUCACGGUUCGAGUACGAGUAGUUCCAGUUCCGGGUCAGCAGCGGUUCGGAUGUCGGUUCAGUUUCGAGUCUCGGUUCAAAACUGGUGCGACUAGUUUCGGCUCGAGUCACACCAGUGGGCUCAGUUCGCAACGGAAAUCAUCUCUAUGUUUCGGGCGAUUUGGUCAUUUGCCUCACCUCGUAUGCUCGUGCGGUAAUUCUCGUGGAUUGUUUCCUACGUAACCAGAGACUGCCUAGAAACACAUUUAAACUCUAAUACUUGUUGUACUAUGUCUUAUUUUCAAACAUGUAAUACAUGGGAGUUACUAUUCUAUCUCAAAGAAUCGCAGGGGAGUAGCGACUUGCUAGUUGAUUGGGCUUUGUGUUUCUUAAAUAUUGGUGUUUACUUUUAGAUUUUGUUUUGUCGGGUUCAAUGGUGGUAUACUCAUUUUGUGGUUAUUAGAGUAACUCUAUUUGUCGAUGCAAUGUUCGCUCCUCUAUUACAGUUAAAUACUAGCAUAGCAUAAGCUAAACCCAAAAUUUGAAUAACUUACUUUUGAACAUAUAGAUUAAGUGCCACAAAUUUGUUUAUUUGUAUUAUAUAAAGCUUAUUAUCAAACAAUAAUUAUAAUAUAAAAAGCUUAAAAAUUGUGAUAUUAUAUAGUAAUAG
rnacentral:lncRNA from 1 species